CUGGUAAGGACAUACCAUCUUUCUCUUUUCAAACUGAUCACACAUAAUGUGUUCCCAAUGAUGCCAGCAGUUCUGUAUCACUGCAUGACUGUUAAUUUGUAAUUUUGUAAAACUUUUACAUGUCGACUUAUUGUUAGAGCUCUGUUCUUUAAGUAAUUAACUUAUAUAUUUUUUUUUUUUUUUACUUUUUCUUGAUUUACAUUUUCAACUGCUCUUGCUUUCUUAUUUUACUUUGAAGUAAUAAUACUUCAUUAUUCAUAUCAUAAUUCAAUAAUUGUACUAUUUUAACACAGGUACAAUACUGUUACUGGCCACCACUGAACAUAACUAAAAAAAUACAAAAGCUUGAACUGCCUGAUAAAGAAAAUUGGACCAAGCACAGGGUCAGGGUGUUUGCUAAAAGAAAUGCUAAAUUGUACUCACCAUAUUUUUGCUUCAGAUGACUAUGAAAGAGCUAAAAAGUGGUCGAAAAAAGCUGUGCAAUCUUCACUUGAGAGCUGUGAUGACUCCCCCAAAAGGAAAAGACGACCAGUGUGUCUCAGCAGCUCUGAUGAAGGUAUGAACCUGAGUAUGUGAAAAGUUCACAAGUAAAUGACUAAAGUAAUAGCAACUGGUAGGCCUUUCUUAAAGGAACACUUUUAAUUAUGAUUCUUUUACUUUACCACUUGUGUACAUUUUCAUGCAAAAAGUGUCAGAAUGAAUACAUUUCAGUAGGCAAUCCCAAUACCAGUAUACUUCAUGAUUUUUUUCAUUUUUUCUUCCUAUUUUUUUUUUUAUUAUUAUUGUUAAUUAACUUUUAUUAUUACAACAGUGGAACCUCAGCUGCCAGUUCCACCAGAAAAUAAAAAAAUUAAAAUGACCUAACAAGCAAACCACCUUCAAUCAAUCAAUAAAGAUGCCAUCAAGAUGUGGAGAGCUUCCCAUGCCUGAUGUGCCAAUAAGGCCAACUCCACCCAGAGACACCCUGAAAAAUGAUCACCUCCUUAGCCUCCUCACUAAAAAAAUUGUAAGCAUAGAGAGUGAGAUGAAGGCAAUGAGGAGCUCAAUAGCAGCCAUGCAUGAACUUUAUGCUCUUGCCCUGGGUGAUGGGACUUGCCAUCAAGCAGAGGAGAUGAGCCUUGAAGUGUGUGGCACCAUCAAUGAACUCUUCUCUCUGGAAGAAAAGAUAAAAGACGAUACCUUUAGGAAAAAAGUGGUGUGUUACUGGUGAACUGUCCGUGAAGCGCUUAAUUAACACAUUUAUGUUAAUUAACAAAAAAUAUCAACUGAACUAUUUAGAAAAUGUAUUCCAUCUUGCAGACACAUCAUUUAAGCCUCGUUGGAGGUCCAAACCCUGGGGAGAACACCCGGUGUGUAAUGCAGGCAGUUGCCUCCUACGGUGUUUGGAAGGAAUUCAUCCUAAAGGGUAAAAAAGGGAAGAGACCACUCCAAAACCUGAUUAUUAUGAAAAUCAUAAUAAGUAAGUACAAUAC
ensembl:lncRNA